GGUUAAGAGUUAUUCCCAUCCCUUUAUUAUCACUAAAAACAUAUCAUAUCUCUCAAAAGGCUCUAUAUCUUCUUAAUCUGUUCCUUCCAAUAUCAACUUUAGAGAAUCAGUUAAGUAUAGUAUGGUGGGUAUAAAGUGGGCUCCGAGGUCAGACAACGUGGGUUUAAGACGUGACUUUGCCACUACUCUCUGUGUGAUCUUACACAAGUUAUUUAACUUCUCUGAGUCUACCCUACUUAUCUGUAAAAUAAGAAUAUUAGACAUAUAUACAUAUCUUACAGAGACGUAAGUGAGGAAACACAAAGCAUUUAACACUGCUCUAGGUACACAGUAAUUACUCAAUGAUUGCUGUCAUGUAAAAUAUUCAUUAUCACAGUCACCUCAUAUGCCAAAUAACAAAGACAGCAACUUGAGGUCACUCUGGCUAGUUAGCAGUGAAACCUGUGCCCACCAUAGGCUACGCCUGAGCUGUCUACACUAGCAGGAGAACCUUGUUAAAUUCCGUAACUGACAAGAACGUCUCCUCUGGCUAAUGGAUUAUAUUUGUUUCCUCUAAUUCCUUCCUUGCCAUCAUCCUUUCCGUACAGUUUCCUUUCAAUCAUGGUCAAAAUAUCACCAUUUUAUAUCCUGGCCCAUUCCCUCUGAAGGAGCAAAAUGUUCAUAUGCCGUAUUCAUUCUAAGGACACCAUAUACAUUGACUCAAUUUUAUAUUUAGUGUAACAGUAAAAUUCUGAAAGCAUACUUAAAAACCUAUAUUGAAAUUAUCACAAGAUAACAGCACAGCAAGCAACUCAGCUUUUCUCUAUUUAAUGUUCUAUUAACUUAGGUUAAAGCUCUUAUUUGCUCUUUUUCCAACCUCUGGGGAAAGAUUUUUUCUAUAAGUGCAUUAAUGAGCAUUAAAAGUAAGUGAAGUUUUGCUUCAUUAUUGAAAAAGCUAAUAUUUGUUAUAUGUAUUUAGACACUGUUCUAGACAUGCCAUAAGGCAGAACUAUGCUAAUCUCAUCUACAUGGAGGCAGCUUUAUUUUUCUAAAUUACAGAUGUUAUGGAAUGAGUCUUUAAAAAGUCACUGACCCAGUUUGUCUCCCUAUGAAUGCAUAUUCUAUAUACUGAUAAAAUACAACACCAGGUGUUAUAAUUCAGCACAAGUUAUACCUUAAACACAAAGAAACUUGGAGACAUAAUUUUCACAGCUUACAAGCACUUUCACAUACAUUCUCUCUUUAAUUCUUAUGACGAUUCUGUGAGCUAAGAACCCUCAACAGGAGAAAGCCAAUUUUGUAAAAACAAAAUGAAAGAUGAAGACAUCCAACUACAAUCUUUUCUCUACCCUAAAAGUACUUAAUUCCGGACUGAGUCAAGUUCACUCAAUGUUUACAUUUGUGAAUACUUAUUUUCAAUGGACUGUAUCACUUUACAGAAAAUCAACAAGGCAACAGAGAUCCUAAAUGACACAAUAGAAAAGUUAGACUUAAUCAACAUUUUAACAUGGAAACAACCUAAAUGUCCAUCGACAGAUGAAUAGAUUAAGAAGAUAUGGUAUAUAUACACAGUGGAAUACUACUCAACUAUAAAAAAAGAACAAAAUAAUGCCAUGUGCAGCAACAUGGAUGGAACUAGAGAUUCUCAUACUAAGUGAAGUAAGUCAGAAAGAGAAAGACAAAUACCAUAUGAUAUCACUUAGAUCUGGAAUCUAAUAUACAGCACAAAUGAACCUUUCUGCAGAAAAGAAAACCAUGGACUUGGAAAAUAGACUUCUGCUUGCCAAGAUGGAGAGGGAGGAGUGGGAUGGACUGGGAAUCUGGGAUUACUAGAUACAAACUAUUGCCUUUGGAAUAUAUAAGCAAUGAGAUCCUGCUAUAUAGCACUGGGAACUAUAUCUAGCCACUUAUGAUGGAGCAUGAUAAUGUGAGAAAAAAGAAUGUAUAUGUGUAUGUGUGACUGGGUCACCUUGCUGUACAGUAGAAAAUUGACAGAACACUGUAAACCAGCUAUGAUGGAAAAAAUAAAAAUCAUUAUUAAAAAGAAUUUCAAACCUCGAAAGAUUUCAAAAAUAGUGCAAUGAAUGUGCCCUCUAUCUAGAUCCACCAGUUGUCAAUGUUUUGCCAUAUUUGCUUUACACAUGCAUACAAAUGUUUAAAGCAAGUAUGUAUAAUAUUUAACACAAUGUAAUAUUUUCAAAUAACUAUACAUGUAUUUCUUAUUAUAUAAAUUAUUUAAUAAAAAUUAUCAUAUAUAUCAUAUGACUUAUAUGAAAGUUAGUAUCACAACAAUUAAGUAGUUAAAUACUUCAGUUUUAACCUCCUAGGAACAAAAGAUGUUCUCUUACAUACAUUGUUACAACAUUAUUAUCAAAUACAUGGUACUUGUUUUCAAAUUUCCCCAAUAAAUGUCCUUUAUAGCUGUUGCCCUGAUGUAGGAUGCAAUCUGAGAGCAUACACUGCAUUUAGAUGUCAUAUCUCUUUAGUCUCCUUUAAUCAAAAAAUAGCUCCCCCAGCUUUUUUGGCCUAUAAUGACUGGCAUUUUUUAAGAAAACAAGCUCUCAUUUUUUUAUUUGUCUGACUGUUUCCUCAUCAUUAGGUUCAGGUUACACAUUUGGGGCAGGAAUGCUGCCAAAGUGACGCGCAGGGCUAUCAAAUUAGUGGGUACAUGACACCAAUUUGUUCUUCUUUUGGUGAUGUUAGAUGGCUUAAAUUUGAUCACAUGUUUAGUAUUCUCCAUCCUAAAGACACCUUUUUCCCUUUGUAAUCAAGUAGUCCAAAGGGCAACACUUUGAGAAUAUUCUGACUGCAACAUCUUUCACUCACUCUUUACCAUCCACUGAUCAUUCUUGCCUGAAUCACCUAUUAAUCACCAAGGCUGUAAAAUAGGGAUUUUCUCUUCCAUCAUACUUCACAUUUAUUAACUGACUCUUCAAAAGUACUCCGUGAUAGCAAAAACACCGAGAUCCGCCUAUAUGAGAGGGUUAGAACAAGAAUGAAGAUGCUCGCUGGAGAGACCAAAGCACUCCAGAGGAAGUCUGGACCAGUGCUAGACACACACAGCUCUGCAUUUGCUGCUAUGGAGAUAUUUCUUUAUGGUCAAUCUGGUUCAAAGGAAUUCUUCCAUUGUAUAAGCGGUGGAUGUUUACCAUGUUCUUUGUUCCAAGACGAUGAUGGAAUACUGGCACAGGAUCUAAAGCAACUACAUUUUUCAGGCUUCAUACAAUAACCUCUAGCUUCCUGCAGUAGAGGAAGAAACUAAACAUAUCAGAUUGAGAAAAUUGGACAUGGCUGAAAAAUCAGGAGAUCAUUCGUAAAAUGUGCUUGCAUCCAAAAGUUUUUUUAUAGUACAAAUCAAAUACCCCAAAAUUACACUCUUUCAUCCCUUGUCUUGUAUGACUUUCAUUCAAGGAAGGAAAAGGUAUUUCUUUCUAAUCCUUCUACCUUACAGAGAGAUAUGCUGAGCAUUUAUAACAACAUAGCUUCAUAAACUUGGUCAGGCUAAUUGUCUGCAGACCAUCUUAAUGCAAUGAAAACGCUCAACUCAGUGCUUCCAAGGUUCGGCACCUACCACCAAGUUCCAGGUCAACAAAAUCGAAAGAUUAGUUUAAUUUAAUUCAACAAUCAUAAUGUAAUCCACAAACACUCUGCAAGUGGUGGCACCCUUGCAUGUUAUUGUAAAUAUUUGACUUUAUACUUUCCAAAGUGCUAUAGAAAAAGCCAAAAUCAAUGCACACUUAUUGCCAGUAUAUUACAUAACAGUAGAAAUAAAUUAUUAAAUAAUUCUCCUAGGAAUCACUAUAAAAGGGUAAAAUCUUAAUCUUGGACGGGGUCAUAGAGAGAUAGUCCAAUCUUCUACCCAAUCCCAGGUUCAUGCCUUCAGCAUCUGAAACAGCAAUGUCAUCUUUGUUUAAAUACCGCCAG
rnacentral:lncRNA from 1 species